GGAAAUGACAGACAUCUUCAGUGCUUGAAUUCGAUAUUUGAAAUAGGACUGACUUGUUCUGCUCAAUCACCGAGUGAACGGAUGGACAUGAGUGAUGUUGUUUCCAAGUUUUGUUCUAUUAGAGAUAAGCUUCUUCGUCCAACUCGAGUACCUCAUCAGAUUCAAACUUCACAAGCUGCUCAUUUAGCAGAUAUCUGAGGCGUCAUAUGGAUGAACUGAUCGGCUCUGGUCCAGGAAAGUGCUUGUUGUUCUCUUUUAUUCACAUUUUGCUUGGAGAGUUUGUCCGAUUUUCCAUCAAUAAUUGGUAUUAAUGUUUGGUUUUCGUCAUUGCAUUAUAAGCAACUGGAUUGUGAUCAAAUCAGAUAUUAAAUAACAAUGUUGGAUUUUGACUCUACAACUUAUUGUAUUGGAAUUGGAAGUGUCUGUCAAAAUGUUUGACUUUAGAAAUCAAUAAUGUAGAAUAUUGGACAUGACACUUGAUGAAAUAAAGUAAUACCCUUCAAUUA